AUGCAGAAACCCCACUUCCGGCUCUGCAGCAGCAAGGCCACAGGACCACCCAGCUCUAGUGACAUUACAAAAGCCUGUCAGGUGGAAAGCAGAACAAGAGCCAUUUCACCAGUGGGAAGAGCCCCAAAUAUGCAGCCUGGACCACUUGCUCUCUUGUGCACAGUCUUGGCCUUCAUCUGCUUUGGUUUCAGCAAUACCCAGAGUGUCGAUCAACCUAAAAGAGAAGAAUAUAAACGAGAGGGAGAAUCUGUGACCUUGGACUGCACAAUCGUAGUCAGUUAUACUUACUAUAUCAUGUACUGGUAUCGACAGGCUUCCAGUGGAGAGAUGACUCACAUCAUCAACCUAGAUUCUAACAAAAAGGACUCAAGACAAGGUCGCUAUUCUGUGGUAUUUCGGAAACCAAACCUAAAACUCACCAUCUCAGCCUUGACGCUUAGAGACUCAGCCGUCUAUUUCUGUGCUGUUGAACAAGCAUCCCACAGUGAGGCUAGUGAUGGGAAGAGCCUUACAAAAACCCCCGGGGCUCAGAAGGAGCCAUCCAGCUGCUCUAGGAGCAUAGAACAACCCACAGGACAGGAAGAGGGUAGACAGAAGGCAUGGUGA